CGCAGCUAUGAGAUGCUGCAAUAGUCAUAAUAUUUGUUGGGUUUGUAAAGGGGAAAUCGGAAAAUCAUAUAUGUAUAUACUUACCAAAAAACCGAGAACCAUAUGAGCCCCAGAGUAUCGAAUCUGGCAACUUGAAGACACUUUAGUUCCCCAAGACAGUUUUGAUUUUCAGUUUCCAUUUUAAAACGUUACUAGUAUCAGAAUUUGAAUGACCAUCCGUACUAUGAAUUUUAAGUAGUUGAAUUGAUGGUUUAAUAUCAGGUUUUCAUGCAGGAUGGCCACAGGCACUGAACGGUAAGCAACCAACAAUCAAUCAAUCAAACUUGCAGGUUUGAGUGCCUGACCGUCUAGCCCAAGUAUUUGUUCAAAUCUACCUGAGGAAUUCUCAUCUAAAACCUUGUCUUUGAUCAACCACAGGUGUUUUUACACAUGUAUGUUUUUUUUUUUUUUUUUUUUUUUUUUUUUUUUUUUUUUUUUGCUCACCUAUCAGGGUUCUUCCAUAGGUUUCAAGAUUUUAACUGUCUGGGUUCUGGAUAUUGCAUGUUUUCAACUGUCAGGGUUAUACCACAUUUUCAGAUUUUACCUGUAUGGAUUUAUCACAGGUUCACAUAUAGUUUUAACCUGUUAAGGUUGGACCAAAUGUUUAAGACAUGAUACUGCUUUAAGUUUUAUAUUUCAGCAGGAACCUGGGACUUUUAUAGUAUAAUAGUCCCAGCUGGUAUGCUGUUUAUGGUUCUCAGGAAAUGAUAGUAGGUGAAAUUGUAACUAUAAAUCCGCUUAGAAGUGCUAGAUAACUUGUCAGUCCUUUGAAGUGAACUCAACUUAUGGUAUCUGGCAGAUGCAGCUGUGCAGGAUUCAACAUUCAUAUAUUUCCAAUAUUAGUGAACAUUGGAACGUUAAGCAACCAACAAUCAAUCAAUCAAUCCAGUGAACAUUGGGACCUUAAGCAACAAGCAAU
rnacentral:lncRNA from 1 species